CCUCGUCAUCUAAUUAGGUGACGCGCAUGAUGGAUUAACGAGAUUCCUACUGUCCCUAUCUACU
rnacentral:ncRNA from 1 species